GGCAAGAGGGGGCACCUGUCGGGCCAGGUCUCCUCGAUGUACUGGAGGAUGAUGAGGGACUCGCAGACGGGCUUGCCGUUGUGGACGAGGACGGGGAUCUUCUUGUGGACGGGGUUCAUGCGGAGGAGGAGGUCGCUCUUGUUCCUCAGGUCCUCCUCCUUGUACUCGUACUUGACCCCUUUCUCCGCCAGCGCCAACCUGCACCGCAUGCCGAACAUGCUCGGCCAGAAGUCCAGCAGGAUCACCUCGUCCGCCAUCGCUUCCGCCUCACCACCACACGAUCUCUCGAGAAAGCAGCAGAGAUAUCGCGAAUUCCAAGCGCCUCAAGGUUUAAUGCAGACGGUGCGCCCAGCUCAGCAAGAAUUUAUGUGUGAGGCUGGGUGAGAGGGUGGGUAUUUAUGGGCUCGAGUCUAAUUAGAUUGCUUUAAAAAAUGAGAAGUUGGUCGUCGUUAAGAAUAAUUUCAACCAGUUUCGCCUAUUAUGGAUUACUUAUAUCCUUUUUAAUCGGUCAAAAUUCAACGCAUCGUUUAAGAAAUACAUAUAUUAGUAAAGAGUUCUAGUACAUCUAGCAUUGUGUAAUCUGCUCUCAAGGCAAUUGCUUAUAAUUUUUUGGUGGGGGCGGGGCGGGAUUUUUCCAAAGGCAUUGACGUUCGAGACCCGGCAUAUCCUUCAAAGAUUUUUUUUUAUUCUCGUCGUGUCCAAAACGACAUAAGCUGAGACGACAAGUCGUCUGUGAGGUUGCUGUUGUUGAUCAUUCCAGACCAUUCCAGACUAUUCCACGAAAACGUAAUCACUUUCGUCAUCGCGCUGUCCCCCCCAAAACGAAACUCAUGAAAGGCAAUGGGACCCACUUUGGCAAGACAGGGCCCAGAAAGGAAAAAUAAAGAAAUAAUUGUUUGUCCCCUCUUUAUGUAGCCAUUCGUCUAGGAAUCUGUAAGAUUGGCCCCCCGAAUGAUAAUUUUGCUCUGUUGCUCCAAUUGAAUGCCUAUCGUUUUGGGAAGGUACGAGAGGAGGGAUCAGUGUCAUUUUGCUACGAAUCCUUUUCCUGUUUUCCCGGAAGAGGAAGUUAUUCUUUGGGAACCUGUUGCUUCUUACAUUAAUUCAAGAAGAGAGGUACCACGAUUUCUAAUGUCAUCGGGGGAAACCAAGAUAUGACCCUUCAAGUUGUAGAAAAGCUGAUAUGACCAGUUUCUCAGGGUCUCGCCCUCCCCUUCCUCCCUUAUUGUCAUGUUUUUUCUUUUCUUAUUUCUUACUCUUUCUCUAUCUAGAUUUGAGGAUAUAAUAAAAUAUAUUUUUCAGUAUACGACACCCAUGUGCUCCAUUCCGUGUACAGGUCAUAUACCUCCAGCUCCAAUGGUUAUUGUAGAAACUUCAAAUCACGAAGAUUUGCUCUUUCAAAUAUUAGAUCUGUAUUUGUUAACUUGUUUUGAUUAUCUUCAUUAUAGUGAUGGUGUAGAGAAAGACGAAUUUAGAUGUGCACUACCAAUUGACAAUGCCUAAAAUUUCUAGUAUAUCUUCAUCACUAACGAAGAUACGGGAUCUAAUGAUCAAUUGCCGAUUAUCUUGCUUGAGAGAUCUAUUAUUGUGAACGACCUCAUGCUUAACCUUGUCAAUAUUCUAUCGAUCCACUUUGUUUUCUAGAUUUGGAUUUGAAUUACAGUAUCUUGACUUUUUUUACUUCAAUUAGUUAUGUUAUUGUACUUCUAUUGUAUGCUUUUUUGUAAUAAAUAUAAUUUUUUUGGGAAAAAAAAUCAGCUAGAUCGCAUUCAAACAUUUAGAUUUCACAAAGCAAUUCCCAAGUUUAAUUCAAACAAGAGGAGGAGAAAAAGAGAAGUGCUUUGGCUGGAGGGUUUUGUUGGGGCGUUGUGAAUUAUGACAUAAAUGUACACAUGAUGUAGUAUUUUUAAAGGAAAGCCUAUGCAAAGUUAUGGGGCGCUGGAAUCACACAGCCUUCUACAUCCGAGAAUAAAUAUAACUCUUUGUCGCAACCGAGGUAUAAAAGAAGAUGCUCCCAUGAUUUAGCUUACAUGCUUUUGUAGAUUCUAAACAAUCACUAGAAAGGUGAGAGAGAAAAGUCGAGACUUGUCAUUGAAAGAACAUUGCAACAUACGAGUAUGCUGAGGAUGGCAAACCCGCGUUUGGAAAUAGCGCUUCAUCUUUUAAUAUCGAAUUUAUCAAACUAAUAUUAUUUUGUAUAGCUUUAUAAGUGAAACUAUGUCCGUGGAUCACUGCCUUCAAAAAAUACUUAAACUGCAUUUGGUGGAUUGGAUAUAGUUCGUAUAAAAAAAAAAAUUAUCCCACUAAAGGUUAUAUAGACCUGGAUAGAAACUAGGCAAAACCUUCAUCUAUACCUACACUAUUGCCCUCUCUUCCCAUCAUCCAUCCCCCUCCUCUUCUUCGGCCUAUUUAUGCUCUAUUCACUUUCAUGACUCACCCACCACCACACCAAGACAAGAAAGUCUCUAAAAAAAUUCCCCAAAAUUCACUUCGACCGGCCAUCGAGGUUUUGAUUUUGGUCUGGAUUUUUCACGCCCACGACUAAAGGUCUAAAUUGCAUAUAUACACAAUCCCCACGCUCUAUUGCGUCUACACGUACCUAGAAUUGGAGCUCUUGUUCACCAUCUUACCAUCCGGUUCGCGCCACCUCAGGGGUCGACCUCAAUCUGCGGUUUGACAAGUCCCACCUCACGACCUCGCUGAAGGACUUUUGGGGCCGGCAGUGGAACCUUAUGGUCAGCAGAAUUGUCUGGUCCACCACGUACGACCCUGUGCGGCACUACAUCCGAGGUGGUGACGGCCCUGAUGAGUCGAGAGUAGUUUCACUAUUUCCAUGGUUUAUUUUUACUUCUAAUCCUGCAAAUCUAACGGUCAUUUGAUCUAUAUAUUAUAUCCAAACAAUAACAAAAAUUAGAUGAGAUAUUUAAAAUCCUAUCAUAUCCUUAUUAUAUUCAACAUUAUCUAUCCAUAAUGGACAGCUUGUCAUUAGCAUUCACUCCUUGAGACUAGCAAGUAGAAACAUUAGCGUAAGAACAAAGCCUUAGGCCACACGGUUCAUUGAGGGAGAAAGGAAAGUUCAGGUUCAAGGUGGGAGGCAGCUCCAUGAAAGCUCAUGCCUGGAGUAAUUAAUUAAUCUUGCUGAGAGAAAAGAGAGAAUGAGAGAGCUGGGAGCAGAAGGCUUAAGGUGAAAUCACCACUUCGGUUUAGGCCUCAGUUUUCGUGCGUUAUUGUUAUUUGACUAAGUUCCCCUUGACAGGACCAACAAUAAACAAGGCAAGUCCUCAUUAUAGAAAUUCUCGAUAUAACAUGACAUGACAUGGGACAUCAUAUUGUCUCAAGUGCGUCAAUUCCGGACUCCUCAUUCUAGAUCUUAAAUCUUCUCAAUUAUUAUGCAAUAUCUAAUAUGUCUAUGAUUGAAUGUGUACUACUUUUGGACCUUUAGGUAAAAUCGAAAAGAUAUGAUUGGUGAGAUCAUAUCUCAAUUGAUUUAUCUUGAGUUUUUGGACUUUCGGCUGUGUCAUUCGUCAAAGAUUAGUAUGACUUAUUGUCAAUUCCUUGUGCGAAAAGAAGGCUAUAAACGGGACAAGAAGUAUUUAUGAGUGUCUUGAGGACACUUAAUAAAGCAUCUUUACUAAAAAUAAAAAAUAAAAAGUUGUUUAAAUUGGAGAUCCGAUUAUGCAUAUCAUGAGAAUAGUUAACUUAUUAAAAAGAAUAUUAUCUUUAUUGUAGGUUGUUUAAAAAAUGCCUCUACAAAGUCAAAAAGAUGCCAUUUUCUCUUCUAUUAAAUAUGAUAAGAAUUCAUUAGUCAAGCUCUUAUUAGAGAUUAAAAAUAUUAUCAAAAUUUUCAGAAUUAUCGUAAAUAGCCGAAUGAAGUGUAAAGAUUUUUUUCUAACUUAGUUACUAAAAGUCCUCUAUUCAAAUCUCAUUAAUAUUGAUAUAUAAAAUGUUGUGUUAUUAGGACCACUUGUGUAGCCUAAAGGUUAACCCUACUGAUCCAUAAGGCUUGCUGGAUGUUUCAUGAAUUUCUAAAUAUCUAGACUUCUCUCUGCACUUGUGCCUCUUUAUUAGAAAAACAUUAAAAGAUACAAUAUCAGAUAUGAAACCACAAAAGAUAUGCAAAUAUCUAAGCAUAACCUGGCAAGAGUUUAUUUAGUUUCUCAGAAACCUAAUUAUCACAGGAAAGGAAAUUGACAAUAGAGGACAGCUAUCGGCCAAUCAAACAACUGAAUAUCAAAUCGUGCAGCAACUUCCAUAAGCGUAAUGGAACGACACAGUUCAACGUAUUUCAGUAGGUAGUCUAAAGACGAGAACCCAGAUCGGCAAUAGUGACCAGGGUCCGGACGAUUGUUUAUCCAAAGCACAGCUCUGCGCAAAGCCGUGCGGCUGUGGAUGAGUAGAUAAAUCUAUUAUCUAUUCUAAAGGAAGGUUUUAAAGCUCCAAUUAUUGGCACUCGUCUCACUCUAGUGGGUUUGAUCUGGGUUUGUGAGAGGAAACUCUAUUUUAUGAAUUUUCCCUUUUCCUUGCCAUUCUAAGUUCUUUUAAUAUGAAGUACGAUCCAUUUUAGAUCUUUUUACCUUCAUAAAUUUGAUGCUAAUCUAAUUUAUUUUCACAUAAGUACAAGCGAUUAGAGGUUUGUUUAAUUUUGGGGGACAACGUUAGUUUCCUCUUUCUUAGAAUUUUUUUUUUCCAAAAAGUACAAAACCUAUUGUAUGUCAAUCAAUUUAAUUUUGAACUUUUUAAUUUUACCAAUUCAGUACUAAAACCUUUCGAUAACUUGCCAAUUCAAUUACAAACUUUUUAAUUAUAACAAUUUAGUCAUAAACAUUUUAAAGAUUUACCAAAUUAAUCAUAAAUAUUUUAAUGAAUUGACAAUUUAGUCAUUCUACAUAAUUUCAGCAAGAUAUUAUUAACAUAGCCGUUUAGGGGGUGCCUGACAACCAAUAAUUUCUGUUCCAUAAACAAUUUUUCUAUUCCAGACUUGUUUCUGGAAUAAAAUUCGUUUGGUAAAAUUAUUCCAUUUUUCUAUUUCUGAAAUAGAUUUUUGUUCCAGAAAUAGGUUUGGAAUAAAAAUCAAAAGUAAAAAUUUUAUACUUCUCCAUUUCUGGAAUAGAAAUGAGAAACAAAAAUUCUUCUCAUUGCGUCCUCCAUCCGUCGCCGUCAACCACCGUUAGUCGGUCACCGGUCGUCGCUGCUCGUCGCCGGUCGCUUGCCACCAGUCGCCGGUCGCCUGCCAACAGUCGUCGAUCACCGAUCGCUGAUUGCCGACCCACCAUCGUCCGCCGGUCUACUGCCGUCCGAAAUGAAGAAAUUUUUUAUUGUUAUCAAACGAAUUUCUAUUUUUGGAGUAUAAAUUUUAUAUCGUUAUCAAAUAGAUAUUUUUAUUUAGAAACUCAUCUUGAAAUAGAAAUAAAAUAAUUUAUUUAUUUUCCAAAAAUCAAUUUAUGGUCAUAAUGGUUAUCAUUCGUGCCCUCAGUCAACGCUAACUGUUCCAUGUGACAUUGACAUGAAUAAUUUUUUAAUUUUAAAAAAAAAUAUUUUUUUUUUAUUUUUUUAUCUUUUAUUUUUCUUAUUUUAUCUUUUACAAGAGAGAGAGAACCAGGAGGCCAUUGGCAACCUUGCUAGCCCCUGGGCGAAGGUCAUGGAGCCCUUGCGCCACCCCUCGUUGGCCAUGAUAAGGGAAGGUGAGGGCUGUGAUAUGCUCAUUGUGGCUUGCAAGAGCUUGGUGAAGGCCAUGAUGCCCUUGUCCAAUUUGGUGGGGGGAGGGCGUUGCAACCCUCGCUAGGCAUAGCGAGGGCUUAUGAGUCCUUGCCUAGAGGCCAAAGGAGUCAUUGGCCCUUGCUUAGUGGUGGGCGGCCUCCUAUCCUAACUGUUUUGGGCAAAAAAGAUGGACAAAAAAUAAAAUAAAAUUUUCAGAAUUUAAAAAAAAAAAAAUUAAAAGACUAUCCGUGUGAGGGUCAAUCUUACCACAUAAGACGGUUCGCAUUGAUUAAACCGUUACAUUAAUGAUGUAUGGCUAAAAUUAGUCAAAAUAACUAAAUUGACAAUUUGUUAAAAUGUUUAGAACUAUGAAAGUUUUAGGCACUUUCAAUGCGAAUUACGAUCAUCAAUUGCACAACAAUUAAGGCAUAGGACUGAUUAAGUAAUGAGAUUGACAGUUAUAACCGGUCUAAGAGUACCUGAAAUAGUCACUUCACAAGAUGGAGAACAUACAGUAGCUCAGGAACAGGGACGGUAACAAAGAGGAGGCAUCUUCCUUCGACUACUUUUUUAGCUCCGAUAUGUAUGCAAAUCGCAGUCCAUAAUUCUCGAGGAAAAAAACGAAACAUGGGAAGGAUGUAAGAGUUUUUCUAACUGUGGACUAUAUUAAUUGAUAUUGUAAUUUACCGUUUAACGUUUAUCGUUUUACGGGGUUUGGUCUAAGGUGAGAUAGUAGGUUUUUUAAUUAGUCUAAUAUGGGCUGGCUAGUGUGGGCCGAGUUGAGCCUGGCUCGUAAUGAGGGGGACUGGCUGGAAACUCUAUAAAUAGUGCUCAAGUCUCUCCUCUAACCCUAAUUCUCACAUAUAUCCUCACCUAAGAGGCGUUUACCUAACGCUACACGUGAGGAGGGGCCGCCUCAUUGAGCCAGUGAUUCAGAGGGCAAUAGAGGAGAAGGACUUGCGCGUGAAACAUUGUGUUUCCGCUUCCGCCGCUUCCGCUUCAAGAACAAUGGAUUCCAAAACAGGUGCGUCAAUUCUUUCUACUCAAUCAUGCAUGUUUUUGUUCUAGUUAUGGAGAUCUUGGGGUUUGCACAAUUUGCGUCUAACAUGUGGUAUCAGAGCCUCCAUAACCCUAGAACACGAACAUAAUUGAUUUUCCCAUAAUUUGUAUAGAUUAACACUAAUUAGUACGGAUCUUGCCCUAAUUUGUGAUUUUCGAGACUUUUAGUUCAAUAAAAUUAAAAUUAAAUCACAAAUUCGGACUGGGCUCGACGAGGCGAGCAAAACCGUGGGAGGCGCGUCGCCGGGGGAGGCCCCACGCGCCCCCACGCGCGGCCACGCGCCGCAGGGCGUCGAACACGCGCGGGGCGCUGACGUCACGAUGACGUCAGCGACCCGGACUCGAAUUCCGCACGCGCUGAUGUCAUGAUGACGUUAGCGACCCAGAUUCGAAUUUGACCCGACCCGACCCGUUGACCCGACCAACCUAUUGACUUGACCCGAACCGUUGACCUGACCCGACCCGGUCAGUCAUUGACCGUACCAGUCAACCGGUCGGACCGGUUUUGACCGGCCUUUGACGCCCGCGCGUGGGCUCCACGCGCCGCGCACUCAGGCGACGCGUGCGGGCGCGUGGAGGCUCCGAUUUGCGCGUGGCCGACGGCGAUGGACUCGUAUGAUUAUUUCCUACAUCAUGGUGUAUUUAUUUUAUAUUUUUAAUGAUUUUAUGGAUGUGAAAAUACAUGCAAAGCCCUAAAUACGUGCUUUUUAGUAUAUUUUUUGCGUAUUUUUCUUGUAUUUUUCUGUGAUUUAGAAAAUACAAGUGCCGGGAUACAGGUAUGUUAUCACAUAAACAUUAUAAAAGUGUGAUUCAUUAAUAAAAAUUAAACUUUAUUGUAUUUUAUUAAUGAAUAAGGCAAUGUAAUUAGCAUGGCAUGUGAUUUGAGUGAUAUACUGCCCCUAUCACUAAAAUUAAAUCACAUGUAUAUGAUGUAUGUGAGAUGUAAAGAUUAUAUCCCUACGAUGAGAGAGUUUCAAGGAUUCAAUUGAGUUGUGACCGCCAAAGUGGCACACUUGGUUGAGUUUGAGAAAUUUCGAUCUCGUAUAUUGAUUGGGAUGUCUCCCGGUCUAAUGCAUAGUCAUACUCCCAAAUGAGGUGAUUAUGUAUUAGUUCAUGGAGGGAUACAUGAUAGUGUGGUGGAGGAGUGACCGAUCCUAAUGGUUCAUAUACCCAAAGGUGAUGAAUUCACGAAGAUUGGAAUAUAUUCUCAUAACCCUUAUCAUGUGGGGAGUGUAUAAUGGCUUGUCAUGUAUUCUGCUCAAAGGUGAUUAUGUAAUUUUGCAUGUAACUCUCUGGAUGUGUACUUGUGCGUCAAGUUACACAAUGCUCACAUGAUGCUAAUUGUAUAUAUUGCUUGUCUUUUAGUCACCUUUUCUGUAAAUGGUAACUCUGUCACCAUUGAGGUUCUUGCUGGUUCGAAUUUUAAGAGAUGGAGAGAGGAUUUUCUGUUUGCUAUGGAAAUGGCAGAUGUUCAUAUGGCUCUUACUACUGAUCGGCCGGCAGUUUUGACUGCCGAGAGUACAGAGGCUUAAAAAGCAAAUUUUGCCGCCUGGGAAAAGAGCAAUAGAAUUUGCUUGCUAUCCAUGAAGCGUUCCAUUCAUGAACACUUGAAAAGUGGUUUGUCUGCAGACUGCAAUGCUAGGCAAAUGAUGGAAGCUUUGAUGGCUAGAAACCGUGUGUCGCCUAAUGCUGAGAUAGGGACACAUAUGCAAACACUUUUUACUAUGAAGUAUGAUGGUUCUGGUGGAGUUAGAGAUUAUGUUCUAAGGAUGGUUGAUUUGCAAACAAAGCUUCAGGUUCUCAAUGUUGAAAUUCCUACUGCUUGCAUUGUCCAUCAAGCUCUAAAUACUCUUCCUCCUGAUUUUGGGAUUAUUAAGACCAAUUAUAAUUUCCAAGAUGAAACAUGGUCUGUUAAUGACCUGAUUGCAAGGUUGGUGGCAGAGGAAGAGAAAUUAAAGAAAGAUAAAGGACAUAUUGCUCUUUAUGCUUCUAGUUCUGCUAGUGACAAGGGUAAGAAGGUGAAAACUUAUACCCAUAAAAGCAAUUCAGAAGUUGCCGGUCCUUCCAACAACAAAUGAAAUUCUAAAGGAGCAGGUCCUUCUAACACUCUGGGUCCUAAGAAGGCAAUCACCAAGAAGGAUGGUGUUCUUUGCUACUUUUGUAGGGAGAGAGGACACGUGAAGAAACGUUGUAGCAAGUUUAAGGCUUGGUUGUCUAAGAGAAAUAAGAGAGAGCCUAAAGGUAAUGAUUCUUUGGCAUUAGUUUAUGAAUCCAAUCUAUCUGAAGUUCCGACCAAUUCUUGGUGGCUAGAUAGUGGUGCAACUAAUCAUGUUGCAUUUACUAUAUAGGGGUUCAUAAACCGAAGGACGCCAACUCAGGAUCAAUCAAAGCUCACUGUUGGAAACAACGUUGGAGUUGACGUUGAGUUCGUGGGAGAUGUUAUUUUGAUUUUAGAUUCUGGUUUUCGGAUGGUGUUAAGAAACACUUUUUACAUACCUUCUUUUAAGCGGAAUUUAGUUUCUGUGUCUUGUUUGGACAUGUGUGGAUACUCUUUUGAAAUAAAGAGUAAUACUAUUUCCAUGUUUUUUGAUUCACAUAAGAUUGGGUGUUGCAAUUUAUCCGAUGGAUUAUAUCGAUUGAGCUUAUCUCCCAACAAAAUAUACGUUGCUUAUUCCGCUGAAAAGGUUGUUUCCAAAAGGCCUCUACCUAAGGAACAGUCUUAUGCAUUGUGGCAUAAACGUCUUGGUCACAUCUCUAAAGAUAGAGUAGAAAGGCUUAUAAAGGCUGAUAUCUUGCCUACUCUUAAAGAUGAUCAAGAGACUUGCGUAGACUGUUGCAGAGGUAAGAUGACUAAGAUAAAGAAGAAAUCUGCUGUACGAAGUUCAGACUUGUUGGAGGUUAUUCACACUGAUAUUAGUGGACCAUACACGGCUACUUUGUGUAGAAAUUUUUAUUUCAUCACAUUUAUUUACGACUAUUCCCGAUAUGGAUUGUUGACACCUAAAUUUUGGCGACCCGCUUAGUCAUUUAUUGCAUUAAAAAAUUAAGGGUUAAUUUUAUUCCGGAAAAAAUAGUUAAUUGCAUAGCAUAUAGUUUUAGGUGCAUUUGUUUCUUAAUUUGCAUUUACAUUGGGUCGGUGACAAAUGGGUUUGAUUUAGUAGUUCUAAGCUUUAAUUUGGCAGGUUGGACUAAGCCCACGAAGCAAGUAAAUUGGCCCGAGCCCGUUUUCUUUUAAUGACAAGAAUUACCUAAAUUGAGAUUUGAAAUAAUAUUACGGUGGAUUUUUGGAAUUUAAGAAAAUCGGGUUGCAAUCUUAUCUUUAGGUGAUAAAAUCAGAAGAUGUGGAAAAUAAAAGAAAAGUGAUAUUGCGUGUGAAAAAGAAAUCUUCACGGAUGCUGAUUUGAAAAGGAAAAUAAAACCCUAAUCUUCAGCCUAUAAAAAGGUUUUCGCGUAGGGUUUCAAUGGAGGCCACACACAUUGAAUAUACGGCCACAAUAUAGAGAAAAAACACAUGUGAGAGAGAGGAAUGUUCGGCCAAGCAUCACGUGGCUGCAACCUUGCUAACCCCACGGCUGAGCUUCAUAUCGCGUGCACCAUGAGACGGUGACCAUUGCCGCGCCUCCUCGUCAACAACGAAGCUGUGAAGCCUUGCUCGAGCUGCUGUCCCGACGUGCCCCGAGCUCUACCCUCAUCGUUGAGUUCCAGCAGUCCCAGGAGAGGUUCUUUUGCCGAAAGUAUUCAAGUUGAAUAUUAUCCAGUCAAAGAAGACAAUUCUGCAGAAGAUCCAUUCUCUGACUUGCAAAAGAUGUCAGAGCCAACGUGGUGAAGUCCGAACUCCAAAUUCAGUCGUGUGGGCAAAAAGGAUCAAUCCACAAUUCGACGCGUUCACUCAUCAUCAAAGGCCACCUGUUCUGCCUCGCCUACAAGUCAUCCCAUACAACGUUCCUGAUUCAAGCAGCCACGAUCCUGUCGUUGCCAAUUGCCCACAAUCGCCGAUCCAGAGAGGACAAGAGAGUGACCAAAAGCAUAAAAAAAAAAGAAAAAGAGAAGCCUUUGAAGCGGUGCUCUUUGUCUGGAGUGGUCCAAGGCGAGAGAAGCAGAGGAAGCUUUUUGCCAAAAAGACAAGAAAGGGGAAGCCGAUCCUUCAUCAAUAUCACAUAUUUGCAUUCCACUAACAUUCUUUUCUUAAUUCUUUUUUUCAGGUUCUGCCCACAUCCUCGUCAUUGUAGAAAACGCCAAGGAGAGACCCCACAUUUGAGUAUUAACAAAUCCCAAGAGGCUUCACGGAGAUCCUCAAUGCGAGCCCCAGUCUCGGUAAAUUACGUCCACCGUGGGUCAACAAUCGCAAGCCGAGCAAACCUGCUUUGCCGUCCUUGUCCUUUGCUGUCGACGUGCCUCAACGAAUUGAAGACAUUGAUGAGCCACUUGUGAUCCACCACGAGACAACUUGUUCUCCUAACGCCGUGCCGAGCCUAUCGCGAGUUCAUCCAUGAGCCGGGCCAUCCCGUAAAAGUUCUGCCUUUGUAGGUUCAUUGGCCAUAAACUGCCCAUCGCUGUCCCACCCGAAGCGCCGGUUGCAGUCCCGGUCCAAUUGCGCAAAGUCCAAAUUGGAAAUUAAUAUUCGGAAUAGGUAAAAAUUUUGAUUAUUUUAAUUUCCGAAAAUUCCGUUUCCUUAUUUGAUAUGUUUGUUGAUGCACAUGACCGAUAUUCGCAACUCGAGUAGUCUUCUAAAUUAGGAAAUCUUCCUAAUUCCGCAACGUGCAUAUGAUUGAUGGUCCGAUUUCAUGCUCGAAAUACGACCCGCAAUCGCACGGAAAAAUCACCAAUCCGAUCUCACGCUCGAGAUACGAUUCGUGAUUUUUAUUUAAAAAUUGACCGAUCCGAUCUCAUGCGCGAGAUACGAUUCGUCAAUUUAUUUCCAAAAUUAAAUGGACAUGGAUGAUAUCUUGCUUGAUUUGUUGUAGUGCUAUUCUCGAUGCCUUUAUUUGAUUGCUCCCGUAAGGGAAAAACCCAAAAAAAAAUAAUUGAGUUAGGUUAAAUGCAUGUUAGGAUGUUACUGGUUUUAAUGUUAUGUUGCAUGUUUAGGAUAGGAAAUUUAUUUCGAAUUUCUUAAAUAAAAAGACCAAAAACAUUAAUUUAGGAUAUCAUAUUUUCUUCUCAUUAAUUUAAAUUGCACGUUUAAUUAUUUGGCAAUUUUAAAUUUCGAAUUUCAUAAAAAAUUUAGAAUUAGGGCAUUUUUGCACGUCAUUGCAUAUUAUAAUAGAUUGCAUACUUAUUAGGAAAAUAAAAAUCAUGUGCACGUUUUAUAGAAUUAGGUUCAUACUAUGCACAUCAUUUAGUGAUUUUUGCUAGGCCCAUUUAAUUAGAAAUUACAUGUCAUUAGAAUUAGGUCAUUUAGUUAAUAUUGCAUUGUAUAUUGCAUGAUUUUCAUUAAUUAAGUGAAAACAAAACAAAAAUUGCGUGUUAAUUAGAAACCAUAUCUAGGGUUGUUGAUAUGGAUUUUAAUUUAACAUUGCAUAUGCUUUCGUUGCUUUGAGGUAAGUCCUGCAAUUUAUUCAUUGCUUUUCUUGGGUGUAAAUUAGUGGUUUGCGCACCCGCAUGAUCACCUCACAUGUUAGGAAAAUAAAUUUAAAAUCAAUCCAAACUGCUUGCCAAACAUUUUUCAAAAUAAAAAGAAAGGUACCGAAAGGGCGUUAGAGAAAUCUAGCGUAAUCAAGUCCCCGAAUCCAUAAAUCUCUGGUUCGUAGGAGUAAAGUAAAUCUCCCAUUACUUUACUUGGGUUUCUAAUCGACCUACCAAAAAUAGAUUAGUGGCGACUCCUAAUUAAAACAAUUGCAUGUUAAGAACUUGAACCGAAAGUCGCGAAUUGGUAUGGGUUUGGGAGAGCCCGAGUUAAGUCUAGGCUUAACAAUCCAUUAGCCAAAACCCUAGGUGGUUCACACCCGAAAAAAAUUGGUCGCGACAUGGAUACUUAUACUUGAUUAAAGAAAAGUCCGAGUCUCUUGAUAAAUUCAAGAUUUUUCGGACUGAAGUGGAGAAACAGUUGGGAAAAGUUAUUAAGAUUUUCAGAUCUGAUCGUGGUGGUGAGUAUUUUGGUAGGCACGGUGAUGCUGGUCAACUUAAAGGGCGGUUUACUAAAUAUUUAGAGGAUUCUGGGAUAAUAGGUCAGUUUACUAUGCCCGGAAGUCCUGAACAAAAUGGUGUAGCUGAAAGGCGGAAUCGUACUCUUAUGGACAUGAUGAGAAGUAUGAUUAGUAGGACCAAUUUACCUAAUUUUCUAUGGGGAGAAGCUUUGAAAACAGCUCUUUAUAUUCUAAAUCGUGUUCCUACUAAAGCAGUUCCAUUGACCCCUUUUGAGUUGUGGACUGGGCGUAAACCUAGCUUGAAUCAUCUUAGAGUUUGAGGAUGUCCAACAGAAGUGAAGUUAUAUAAUCCAACAUUGAGUAAACUGGAUUCCAAAACUACUCGAUGUUACUUCGUGUUUUACCCAGACCAUUCAAAGGGGUAUCGCUUUUAUAACCCUAAUGGAGGUACAAGAAUUGUGGAAUCUCAGACUGCAAAAUUUCUAGAAUUUGAUGUAUCGGAAAAGGGUAGUUGCUCACAAGCUAUCGAAGAUGAUAGUAUGGUGGGGAUUACUGGAUCUCUGUCUCAUCCUAUGCAGACAAUUAUGGAGCCUCUUACGCCACAAGCUGAGCCUAUUGUGGCACAUGAUCCUAUUGUUGAGACAGUUCCUGAUGAAAUUCCUCAAACCCCUCAAAUUCAGAAUGAGGUUGACGUAGCUCCACUCAGAAGAUCAACUAGAGAAAGAUGUUCAGCUAUACCACCAGACUAUCUAGUCUACCUGGGAGAGCAUGAUUAUGACAUAGGCUGUGUUGUUGAUCCCGUGACUUAUACUGAAGCCAUCUCAUGUCCUCAAUCAGAUUUGUGAUUAGAUGCGAUGAAAGAUGAGAUGCAAUCUAUGAAACAUAAUGGUGUUUGGGAGCUUGUUGAAUUGCCUGAAGGUUGUAAACCUAUUGGCUGCAAAUGGGUAUUCAAGACUAAAAGAGAUUCCAAAGGAAAGAUUGAAAAGUUUAAAGCCAGACUGGUAGCUAACGGUUUUACUCAAAGAGAAGGAAUAGAUUAUGAAGCAACAUUUUCUCCAGUUUCUUCUAAAGAUUCCUUUAGAGUGAUCUUAGCAUUGGUAGCUUAUUACGAUAUGGAGUUACACCAGAUGGAUGUUAAGACUGCUUUUCUAAAUUGAGACCUUGAUGAGGAGGUUUAUAUGGUGCAGCCUGAAGGUUUUGUAGCAGAUGACUCAGGUCAACUUGUUUGUAGAUUGAAAAAGUCUAUUUAUGGCCUUAAGCGAGCUUCUAGACAGUGGUAUUUCAAGUUUCAUAGUGUUGUUACUUCAUUUGGAUUUAUUGAGAACAAAGUAGAUCAGUGCAUAUACACCAAGGUCAGUGGGAGGAAAUAUAUUUUUCUCAUACUUUAUGUAGAUGAUAUCUUGCUUGCUAGUAGUGACAUUGGUUUACUGCAUGAGACAAAGCGGAUGUUAUCGAAAAUUUUUGACAUGAAAGACCUUGGUGAGGCGGCUUUUGUUCUUAGCAUUGAGAUCCAUAGGGAUCGCUCACGCCGUUCAUUGGGUUUAUCUCAGAGGGCGUAUAUUGAUCGCAUUUUAGAAAGAUUCAAUAUGCAGGAUUGCAAACCAGGAAUUGCUCCUGUUGUUAAGGGUGAUAAAUUGAGUCUUUCACAAUGCUCUAAUUCAGAUUUUGAGAAAGCUCAAAUGAAGGAUGUACCUUAUGCUAGUGUGCUUGGAAGCAUCAUGUAUGCUCAAGUUUGCACUAGGCCAGAUAUUGCUUUUGCAACAGGGCUUCUAGGCAGAUAUCAGUCUAAUCUAGGACGCGAUCACUGGGUUGCUGCCAAGAAGGUUUUAAGGUACUUAAAAAGAACAAAAGAUUAUAUGCUGAUUUAUAAAUAUGUUCCAGACCUACAACUAGUAGGGUAUUCAGAUGCAGAUUUUGCUGGUUGUCAAGAUGAUAAGAAAUCAACGACUGGAUACAUAUUUAUGUUGGCAGGAGGUGCAGUAUCAUGGAAGAGCGAGAAACAGAAAUCCAUAUAUUCUUCGACCAUGCAAGCGGAGUUUGUAGCAUGUUUUUCAGCUGCUACUCAAGCUAUUUGGCUCCGGAACCUCAUUAGAGAGUUAUUAGUUUAUGGUUUUGUGGAUAGACCCAUACAGUUAUAUUGUGACAAUAACUCUGCAGUGUUGUUUAUUAAUAACAACAGAAAUUUAAAGGGGUCUAAACACAUGGAGGUCAAGUUUUUUACUAUAAAAGAAUCAGUACAGAAUGGUGACGUUGCAAUAGAUUAUAUUCAUACAGAUAAUAUGGUUGCAGACCCACUAACUAAAGGCCUACGCCCGUGUGUUUUUUAUCGACAUGUCAUUAGUAUGGGCCUAUGAGCAUCUUGGGAUGCUGUUAUUUAGUGGGAGCUAUGUUUUUAUUUUUCUUUGAAUAAAGUUUACAUCUGUUUUGUUACAAUUUAGUAACACUUUGAUAUAUAUAUGUCAACUUUUGCAUUCAAUAAAAUAUUUUGAAUGGAUUGUUAUUAUGUUGAAUAUAUAUAUUGUUAAAAGUCUCAAGGUAUUACUUAAACCUUGAGUGAAUGCUAGGGGCAUCCGGUUAUUAGCCUUGUGCAUAUGUCUUGUGAUACAUAAAGAAAGGUUAACCGUAAGGAUAAGACAUAUGUGGGUUCAUUGGAACCAUAAAGCAUUCUCUAGUGGCACAAGUUUUUGUGAUGCCUAAAGUUAAGAGAAUGGUGACUGACAAAUGGGGUCUCUCUAUGAGAGAUGUUAUCCAUUUGCCACACUACCAUAUUGAAUCCAUAUCAAUAAAGUUGAGAACACUUGUGACCAUGGAAGGCUCUAUGUGUAUACAUGCAGUUACCGCCAUGAUUCGGUGUUUGAGACUUUAUGGGAUAGGAUUGACUAUUAAGAAUUAUCUUUGGACCAAUGUGCGCACAUACAAUACAAUUUCAAUUAAUAUAGUCCAAGUGGGAGAAUGUAAGAGUUUUUCUAAUUGUGGACUACAUUAAUUGAUAUUGUAAUUUACCGUUUAACGUUUAUCGUUUUACGGGGCUUGGUCUAAGGUGAGAUAGUAGGUUUCUUAAUUAGUCUAAUAUGGGCUGGCUAGUGUGGGCCGAGUUAAGCCUGGCUCGUAAUGAGGGGGACUAGCUGGAAACUCUAUAAAUAGUGCUCAAGUCUCUCCUCUAACUCUAAUUCUCACAUAUAUCCUCACCUAAGGGGCGUUUACCUAAUGCUACACGUGAGGAGGGGCCGCCUUAUUGAGCCAGUGAUUCAGAGGGCAAUAGAGGAGAAUGACUUGCGCGUGGAACAUUGUGUUUCCGCUUCCGCUGCUUCCGCUUCAAGAACAAUGGAUUCCAAAACAGGUGCAUCAAUUCUUUCUACUCAAUCAUGCAUGUUUUUGUUCUAGUUAUGGAGAUCUUGGGGUUUGCACAAUUUGCGUCUAACAAAGGAUUCCGAAGAACAUCCAAAAACCUGAAAUGUACUCAUGGACCUGACCAGAACCUCAGCACCACAUCAGCCAGCAUGCCUUUCUUAUAUGCGACAUGGUCGCCCAGCAGUGCAAGAUGAGGAGAAGACUCCACGAAGUGUCCUCUCAGAACAUAGAACUAUAAGAAAACACAUAAGUCCCUUACGUGCAUAGGAUCGCAAACAAAGAUAGCAAAUUCCAACAGCCACAUAGCAGGAAGGAAACGGGGGUCUAGCAAGAGCAGAAGCACAUUCCCCUACUCUUCGCCCCUCGCGUUCUUGCUUUCCAAGAUGAAGGCACACAACUUACGUGGGUCGGUGAGAGCUUUGGACACGCUCUCCUUCGCCAUGCAUCUCUUGCCCCACGCGGCGAGCUCGGGGCAUUCGGCUUCGAUGCUGAAGUUCCCACAUGUCCCGUAGGCCGCGAGAGAGGCCACCAUGGCCCUCGCAUAAGUCUGAUGAGGCCCUUUGCGCCCUUGUUCACUAUGGCCAUCUCGCCCACGGCCGACGGGGCUAUAAAGGCCCUUGCCUAGGGCCUUUGCAACCUAGUUGCUGGCAAGGGUUGUUGGGACCACAAAGAAAAAAUAUAUAUCUUUUAUAAAAAAAUUAUGAAAAUUGUUUGUGCCAAUACUAACUACGUCGCACUGGAAGAUUGACAUUCUUUUUUAGUGAUUUCUGGUUAAAAUUAACCAAAAGUACUAAAUUGGUAAAUUAUCAAAAUAUUUAGAAUUAAAUUAGAUAAAUUAAAAUUUAUAGAUUAAAUUGGCACAAAUGCAAUAAAUUGAUGGCACUUUCAAAAAAAAAUGAAAAACCAUACAAAGAAUCAAUGAUAGUGAAUGACGAUGACGAUGACGACUUAAGCCAGAUGAUCUUUCUUCGCAUUCAGCAUGAGAUGUAAAUAGCUAAAAACGAUAGCUCCAUUAUGAAGGCGCGUAAAUGUCAACAGACUGAAGAAUCAUUGACGAAUUAGACGACUAUAAAAAAAAACAGAGGAACUAGUAAUACCUUCUUGUAGACCAAAUCGGCCCAGAAUCUGGCUCGGGCUCGUUCGUAUGGAUCGGAUGGCAAGAGAAGGGGCCUUGUGGCUCCAGGUCUCAUCGUUGUACGCUCCACAAUGACGAGGGACUCGCAGACGGGCUUGCCGUUGUGGAUGAGGACGGGGAUUUUCUUGUGAAUCGGAUUCAGCUGGAGGAGGAGCUCGCUCUUGUUCACCGAGUGCUCCUCCUUGGACUUGUGCUCGGCCCCUUUCUCGGCCAGCGCUGCUCGGCACCUCAUCCCGUACAUGCUCGCGCAGACGUCCAGGAGGGUCACUUCUUCAUCGGCCUUUUCCUUCAAGGUCGUGUGCUUGGCCCUUGAGAAUCGGAGGAGAGGAUUAUCGAAGUGUUGAGGGGUGAAUACUAGUUACUGUUGAGCGAGCGGUCCACCCAAGAGAGCUGAGUAAUAUUUCCAAACAAACAACACAAGUCGCGGACGGUGUAUAGGACAUAUCGUUUCUCAGCAUAUCUCUUCGAAAUUGGAGGAAGCAUUUUGCGCGAAUGGUAAUUAGUCAAUCAUAAAAUUCUUGUUUCUCAUUAAAAUAGAUAGCUGUGCUUGAAAUUUCAAUACAUUUCCUCACUUUUUGACGACACGGAAUGCAUCGGCUAUGUAAGAUGCUUUCUUACGCAAACGCACGAAUACAUAUGGUUUUCUAUGUCAUUGAAACUUCAACUUUUAUCGUCGUGAAUUUCAAUCUUAAUUCAACAAGGAUCCAUGUAUUUUAAGUCACCCGGGCUGACAUCUUUAAAAUGAUGAAAAGGUAACUAAAUAAUAAACUUGAAAAUAAGAGGGACAAGCAUCCAAAAGAAUCUAUGCAAGUUCGAUGGGAGUGAUCGGCUCUAUAUCUAGAACCUGAAACUUACCAUGUUAAAAUCAAUUCCUAAUUUUUGAAACUUGAAAUUUAUCCCAUUUACCUUGAAAUCAAAAAAUUACAAACCGGUAUAUUUGUGAUAAACGGAAAACAAAACCCCAAACCGAUACAAUGAUCAACUGUUAUAUGUUAUCAAACUCAAUAAUUUAAAGGUUAAAUUUAAUGAAAACUAACAUAUCGUAAAUUUGUUAAAGGUGUGCUGGUUUAGGAUUUUUUGUUGUCAAAAAAUUAAUUUUGAAUAAAUUUGUCAUAAAUAUAUUAAUUUUGGGUUUUUCGUAAUAUUAACCCUUUUUAUUAUUUUCUUAUCUAGGUUACUCAUUUAAUUAUUAACCUGGAAAAAUGGUUAAUGAUUUAAUUACAUGUGAGAAGCAUCAAGCAAUUUAUAAUGAUUUUGACUUGGCCUUUCAAGUCAUUAUUUUAAGUUGACGCUUUUGGUUUUCUUGCUUCAAUUGUAGCCAAGAUCUGAUGAAAUUCACUUUAAUCGGGCAUAGCAACAUCGCUGCAUUUAUAUCAUCUCUUGCAAUGAAAUUCAUCCACACCGCAAAACUUAAUGAGAUUCAUAUUCAUCUACUUUACACACGAGAGACCUUAAAAAUUCAAUAGAUUCAUACCGAGUGCACUCGACUUAGUUAGCGAUUUUUUAUCCCUUGGACGGACGACAACUUUCACUUCCACGAAAACCACGCCCCCCGGCGUGUCAUUAGAGUGCGACCGCAUUAUCCACACAGCUCAUGAUCAGCCUUCGCAAUUUACACGUCGGCAAUGCAUUGCGAUGGGACAGCACACCUUUUUGCAGAAAGAUGCAACUCUCGAGAGCAGAGGAAAGAGCACGUGAUAUCACUCAAAAAGGGAUCCCAGCUCGCUUGCCCCCACACUGCUCAGCCUUCACUUGUUUUGGUCGGCAGACAGUGAUAGCGUCGGUGAAGCGGAAAACGACCAUAUGGUCGUGCAUCCUCAGUAGACACAGUCAAUUCAAUGCGAAUUAAUUGCAAAAAGUAAGGACAGCGUAUACGGCUGCUCGAACUUUUUAACGCUCUUGAUAGCGAUCGCCACACCCUCCCCUCUAUAUUUGGUUCGCGGGUCUAAUCGUUUUUUGGGACAUCAGUUCAUACUCGACCUUUCAAAGAACAUGGAGAAGGCGCAAGCCAUGAGAUUUGCAGUCGAAUUUGCGCCGAGCAAACUUGUCUCGGCCAGAAGGUGUCCGCCGCUGAUUCAAUUGCUUGAGACGAUUGCAGAGGAAGAGACUGAUGAUCUGGAAACUACUACUACUCUUCUGCUUCCGAUGUAUCUUCCUCCUCAUAAUGCCAUUAAUACGGACUGAGAAACUGUUGUUGAAGAGGAAGCAAGGAGAUCCUGCAGGCCAUGAGUACAUUCUGGUUUUAUCGCCACGGGUGGGCUCAAGCAGUUUAGAUGUAUUCCGUAAAGCAUGUGUAGGAAUCUUUACCAAAUCAUGUUGUGUCAUGCGGACCUCAGGUCCACCUUUCUUUUCUUAUUGAGAGUAGUAUAUGUCGCAUUGCCUCUCAAAUGCAGCUAGUGACAGUGAGUAAUGUGUCCUGGCUGCUGAAAUAUUUAGGCACCUUCAAUGGCAACUACAAUCAUCAAUUGGCUAACAACCAAGUGUUAGGGCAGAUUAAGGGAUGAUGGUUAUAAGUGGUCUAAGAGUAUCCGGAAAAGUCACUCCCCAAGGUGGAGAACCUAAAGUACUUCAGGACUAAGGACAGUUACAAAGAGUAGUCUUCGUCCUUCCCCAGCUCUUUCAGCUUCGAUGAGCAUUCAAAUUGCAGUCCAUAAUUCUCAAAAAACGAAAGAAAAUAAGAACACGGGAAGGAUUUCGAAGAACGAUUGAAAACCAGAAUGUACUCAUGACCUGAUCAGAAUUGCUACCUGAACAUGGCAUGAGGUAGAAUGCCUUACUAUGCCAUAUGAUCGCCCAGUAGUACGAGAUGAAGAGAAGACACAACGAAGUGUCCUCUCAGAUUACAGAAUUCUUAAGGAAACAAAGAAGCCCGUUGCGAGUACAAGAGGAUUACUAACAAGGAUAGCAAAUGCAGACAGCCACACCAGGGAGAAAAACAGGGCCUAGCAAAAGCAGAAGCAGCGUCCCCUACUCUAUGCCCUUUGCUUUCUUGAGCUCCAAGACGAAGCCAUGCACCUUUUGAGGGUCGGGGAGCGAUUUGGACACGCUCUCCUUCUCCAUGCACCUUUUGCCCCACGCAAUGAGCUUGGGACACUCCGCUUCGAUGCUGAAGUUUCCGCACAUCUCGUAGGAGUAGAACUUCCAAGAACCCGAACUUCUUGCCCCCAAAGAAAGGCUCGUUUCCUAGCUCACUUUCCAGUAGUUUUAGGCUGUGGAUGAAUUCCUUCUUGGCCGCCUCCUGUUCUUCCCCUUUCGUCGUCAGCACCUUCCACCCUUGACCAUAGAACUGCAAAAUCGUAGAUCGGUCCCAGAUCAGAAAGUCAUCAGAAUCAUCACAAGCUUUCUCCUAGUAAAAGCACUUCGUGCUUCAGUAUUAUACGUGCAACAUCAGUCAACUUCCCACAUUAACAAACGCACACGACGAUGAAACCACGGGGACUAAUACCUUCUUGUCGAUGAAAUCAGCCCAGAAUCUGGAUCGGGCUCGUUCGUAAGGAUCGGAUGGCAAGAGAGGGGCCUUGUGGCUCCAGGUCUGGUCGACAAACUCCACAAUGACGAGAGACUCGCACACAGGCUUGCCGUUGUGGAUGAGGACCGGGAUUUUCUUGUGGACCGGGUUCAUCUGAAGGAGAAGCUCCCCCUUGUUCCACAGGCCCUCUUCCUUGUACUCGUACACGACCCCUUUCUCGGCCAGCGCUACGCGGCACCUUAUCCCGAACAUGCUGGGCCAGAAGUCCAGGAGGAUCACUUCAUCGGCCAUUGCCUUCAAAGUCUCUCUGUGUGUUUGUGACCCUUGAGAAUCGAAGCAGAGCAAUUUCGAAGUGUUAAAAUGGGGUGAAUAAUAGCAACUGUUGAGCCAGCACUCGACCCUAGAGAAUCGAGGAGUAUUGUAAAUUAAAAAAGAACGUUACGUCAAAACUCCAUAGCAUCGGCGUACUCCUUUGUUCUGGGGGUGCGACGGCAUAUACAAAGUUUCUCAGCAUAUUUCCGUUACGCAAUAUUUAUAUCACAUCAAUGAUGAACUAAAUUGAUACAAUUACAAAAUGUUUAGAACUAAAUUAAAAAUUACAAUAGAUUUAAGACUAUUUUGGUAAUCAUUCCCAUAAAAAUACAAUUCUUUUUUGUUGACAAUAAUAUAUUAAACAUAUUUAAUUUCAAUAUAUGCAUUUUGUUUUUAAAAAACAAAGAGUCAAAGAAUUUACUUCGGUUUAUGGGUAAACCAAUCCCAAAAUGGAUUCGAUUUCAGAUUCCAACUUCCACCUUAGAAUCAAUCUUGCAGGUUUCACGCUCUAUCCUCAAAGGAUAUUUCAUCAAUACUUUUCAGUGAUAUAUCCCUUUGGCACACCCAGUGGGAUAUUUUGUUGAUUCAAAGAGACUAUGGUGACAAGAACCAAAAAAUAACUAGAGUUCGACAAUACUGCUAGCAACAACUCAUUAAACUAGGGGAUAAGGACAACAUAAAUUACUUUUAGUAGACCGAUUUCAAGCUCCCAGUCCUCACUUAAACAAUGUCCCUGGGAUUGACGUUGUAUACCCUUUUCCAUUACGGUGACUGGCAAUAUUAUGGAAGCCUAAAGUGACUACUGAACCGCCAUCGCAAUCAUGAAUAAGUGGAGUGACUAGCCGGAUGCUCAAUUCUUGAUGAAGAUGAUGUACUCCCGAAAUGCAGUUGAAACUACAAAGAUCAGGGUCGCGUCCGUGGCUCGUAGAGAGCCUUUUAUGUAUCACAUACAAAGAGUAUAAGGGCAGCUGAUCAAACGACAGUCAGCUGAUGAAUCCAGCGCAGAAGGCUACUCCGUAACAUUGUGCCAACUUUCCGAGAGAGCAAUUACAGUGCAGAGGAAAAGCAAAAAUUAAGAAUGGACUGCAUUUUCAGAAAUUAUCAUAACGGAUCACUCGAAGAACAAAAAGGAACAUUUGGUUUGGGAAAACGACUAAAUAAAUGACCUUCCUUCAAAUUUAAUCUAUCAGAAGAGAUUUUACAUCGCAUCGUUUGGACAGUGCUUGCUGACACAGAAACAAUGAUACAGUUCUCAUGAUAAGGUAACAUUUUUACAAGUUAAACCAGGCUAACGGCCUGACAAAAACGUUGAUUUGUAAAGUUAAAGGGAACAGAUCCCAUACCAAUUGGCUGGACCCUACCGCUGAAACCUCCUCCUCUGGAUUGCCCAAUGCUGUAAAUCGUAUCUGAUAAGCUAGGUCUGCCCAAGACCUCCCAUGCUUCCACCUUGAAUCACGUAAAUACAGUCGACCAAAUGUCUGUUCUCCACAGGUGGAACUUGUGCCAGAAAGCCUUGACCCUACAUAAUGGCAAGGGCAAUUGGUGAUAUUCUGUAACAUGAUGCCUAGCAACAACUCGUACAACAGUGUGCAUAUGCGUUCCUAUAAUUUGAUUCCAACGUCUUCCAAAGCAGCUGUCAUUGAAGCAGAUGCUUCUUCAAGGGUCCGUCUCUUCUCAACUGUGUUAAAGGCCUCCACAAUAUCUCCCUCCUCCCAAUCAUCAUAGUCUUCCAUCCCAAUACCACAUUCUAGUCCUGUACCAACCUAUACGAGAAAGUGAUCAAAUUACGCAACGUUCAGUUCUGUGCAUCACAAUUAAGAGACGAGACAAAACCAGAUGGUCCCUAAACAAAGAGUUCUAACUUCUGUGAAUGAAUUGCUAUUAAGAGAGUAGCAACUCUUCUGGGGAUUAAGGGUUGGACACUUUUACUCUCAAAGGAACCAGUUCAAUCAAGGGCAAGAAGAUGAUCCAACGGUGGUCAAGAAAUAUAUUAAAAUCAAAAGGAUGCCAUGAGUGAAAACUAAAAGAUAACUAAUCCAUGGACGGAUAAGGCUACGCAACAAGAACCAAACAAUUGUCAUGCUCAGACAAUAAGCUAUCAUCACUUUGCUCAGUUUUCCUCUCCCCUCAUACUGCAGGAUGCGUACAAGUGUCUAAAUAUAAAUCCUUAUAAACAAGAUUCUUUUUCCAGUACAUCACAACUUAUACCUUAAAAUAUCAGAAUAAUUGAAUUAUACUCGAUGAGCUCUACUAGUGUCGCUACCAUUUUUCAUCACGCUAGUAAAUAUAAUUCUUCAAAUUGUAUCUUACCCCUAUUCCUCACAUUAAAGCAAUAACACAUGCCUUCCAUCAAGGAAAUGAUAAGCAUUCUAUACACAAAGCUUGUUUCCACUAAAAGGUAAGUCUAAUUCCAGCAGAGCUCAUGAAAGAGCACGUAGACCAUAUAGAAAGUCAUGCAAAAAAAAUGUGCAUAGAGUCGGAUUAUUACGACACAAAGCAAAAUAUGACUUAGCAAAAAGGUCCAAUCAAUAACAUCUUUUAGCCAUACCUCUUUCACAAUUUCCUUGACCCGUCUCAAAGAAUCCAGAAUACCAACAUAUGCAGUUUUCCCCUUUCGAACAACUCGUAUACCACAGCCCUUCACCACCUUCCCCUCUGUAACCAUGCAUCCAGCAACCCGACCACUGCCACUGCUAAAUAUUGCUCGCACUUCAGCAGAACCAAUCAUUUCUUGUUCCUACACAUAUUAAUAAAAGAACAUAGAAUGAAUAAUCCGAAACAGAUAUUCUGGCAAUAUUAAGCGUCAAAGCAAUAGUUUCCGACUGAGCCCGAUUGGACUCAGCAUCAGCACCUAUCAACUAGAAUUGUACAGGUGUGCACCUGAUAGAAGUCAUUAUUAGGUAUCCCCACAAGGAUUUUCAGAGAAGAAGAAAAUCAUGUAGCUUUGGCAGGGUUAGCUGGACUUGAGCUCUAAUUAAGACAGAGACUCUAUUCUAAGAAGCAUCUCAAACACUGUAUCGCUCUGAAAGCACUGAUAAGUGGUCUCUCGGGUAGGAGCAGAUAUGCAGAGUCAAUCAAGUCAAAAUCAAGUGAUACAAGAUUAUGCCGCGGCCUCACAGAGGAAUUUUCAAAAGUGUUUUAGAAACUAACCUCCACCGACUCGAGAAGUCCUUCCAUUGCAUUACGUACGUCGUCAAUGAGUUCGUAGAUUACUCUAUACAGACGAAUCUCAACACCUUUAUUGUCUGCGUAGCUCUUUACCGAACCUGGUGCCUUAACAUUGAAUCCAACGAUUAUGGCUUUACUAGCAACUGCAAGAUCAACGUCACUAGUACUAAUAUCCCCGGGCGCUUGCAACAGAAAUUUUAAAGUGACAUUAACUUGCGGAAGCACUUGCAAGGCUUGUCUUAUGACCUCGAUGGAUCCAUGGGCAUGAAAAAGAUCCUUCAGUUCCACAGAAACUAGGAAGAAGAAUUCGAUGCAAUAAAAUAUAACAUGAAAAACAAAAUAACCAACUACCCUCCAACGCAUGAAUUUGAAGCAUGUUAUGUGCAUACCUGAACAUCAACCUUCAUGAUAAUAUUCAGCUGGUGCAAGUCCAGACCAGAAAGCUUUCCUGAUGAAACUGCAGAGGCUAAAGAAGAAAGUGUGACCUUCACAUCACCGGCCUUGGCUGAAAUACGUUCAUUUCGCAAAGACUCUACGCGCGCUUCUGCCUUUUCCCGUGCCGUAUCAAGGGACCCAACAACCUCAAACUCAUCACCAGCAAUUGGAAUGUUAUUCAGUCCAAUUACCUGCCAUGAUUAUAUCACAACCAGCAAAUUAUAUGUGGUGCACUGUAGAAUUUAAGGAAUACAAGACAUGGAAAAUGAACAAAAUCAUUAUAUCCUACAUGGCCACAAUUUCAGUCUAGGUUAUCUACGGGAAUAAGAACAUCUCUGCUUCCCGCUCAUCAUGCAACAAAUGCAUGCUAGUAGUCAGAGCAUGUGACUGCUUUCAUAACAUUUCUAAUCUGGUUUUUCUUUCUAAAUGAUAGUGACUUCUCCAAAACAUGGAUAAUAUAAGAGAAAGAUGUCAGGGGAUGAUUCCCGGUACAUCAUAGUAGCAUCAUGUGUGACAGAUCAUAACAUAAACAUGCCUUAAGCCAAUUUUAACUCCAACUGCAUGUAGGGAAUAUAAAUAUUCUUCGCACUGCAUAACUUGUUUGCAUAUCCAAGACUUAAGGGCUUUUCAUGUGUUACAGAUAUGAAGCCAUAGUAGAAACUCUCAAUGCAGGAAUAUUUGGAUUAAGACCUUAUUCAGGUUUAAAAGAAAUUGCACAUUGCCCAGGUAUUGAGUAUGCCAUUGCACAACUUCUGAACUCAUGAAUGAGAAAGUAUAUUUGCAUAUAGCCUUGCCAAGGAAACAUCUGCUAACGUAUUUGGCCUAAGGAAAAUUUAGAGAUGUUCAUCAAGCGUGGCAAGACCGUGUCAAUGACUUAUCAAUGGAUGAUAAAUCAAAAUUAAGGUUAAUUAGGUAGAAACCCCCAUCAACUGAUGUCACUAGGAGGUGCUGUAAAAUCGUAUCCAAAGUAUCAUUAUGCCUAAGGGAAUAACAACAUAGUCAAAGAAGCACCAACCUGUACAGGGAUGGAGGGUCCAGCUUCUAGGACUUGCUUGCCAUUCUCAUCAAAUAGUGCCCUAACCUGACCACAGAACAACCUUUCAAGCAUUACUAAAUGACAGAGCAAUCUAAAAAUAAAAUAUUGAGAAACUGUCUUCUCAAGUUGCACUGUGCAUAUAUUAAGUUUAACAGGAACUGCUGAGAGUUCAUUUGACGCAGCAACCUUUCCAAAAGCUCCUCCGCAGACCACAACAUCCCCUCUUUUAAGGGUGCCAUUUUGCACAAUAAAUGUAGCUGUCGAUCCUUUAGAUUUAUGAAGACCAGCUUCAAUUACAGUGCCCUUUGCAUUUCUAUGAGGAUUGGCCUUCAGCUCUUGCAACUUCAUGAAAAAUGUGUUUGGGGUUAGCAUAAAAUCACAGCAACACAUAUAAUAACUCCAUAGGUCACAGGAGAAAAUGUUGCACAAAAAACAUGGCCAGAGUUUUAAGAGAAGUCUAAAUGUCAUAAAAUAUCAAAGGAAUUACUCUGUAGUUGUAAGGGGGCUAAAUAAUGUGCAAAAGCUCACUUAAUCAUGAGUUAUAGUAUGUUGCCCAACAAAAGGAAAAAAACAUGAGUCAAAGUAGAAACAGGAAAGCCAUCAGAAAGUCAACCCCGAGAAGUAAAAGAUGGAUCUACUUUUAACAUUACAAACAUUAAAUAAGAGAAUAAAUUGGGGUAAAAACGCUUGCUAACCCACCCCCAGGAAAGAUACCAUAAGGAAAAUUUGCUUCCAUUACAAAUAACUGUACAAUGCAUCAAUCUAGAUAUACCUCCGCAACAAGCAUGACAGUCUCCAGUAAAUCAUCUACGUUCUCCCCUUUGAGAGCGCUAAUCCGUAAAAUGGCACAUAAUACUGUGAGACACCAUGAACUAGCACAACAAGAUGAAAAGACAGAUCCCAUCCAGAGAAAAAGGUGGACCUGAACCAUAGGGAUGUCGCCGCCCCUAUCUUCGGGCAUCAAGCCAACUGAAGAAGGUUCUUGCAUUACCCAUUCUGGACUGGCUCCAUCUUUAUCGAUCUGAUCAAGAAAAAAUGGAGCAGCUUGAUUAGACACAGGAUGAACAAAUAUCACUAUCCUAAAUACGUUUACUUCAAGCAUUUAUUUCUUAUAACACUUCAGGUAAGUUUUGCUUCAGUUGGCGAACCUUAUUUAUUGCAAUCACUAUCGGUACUCCAGCUGCUUUGGCAUGAGCAAUAGCCUCACUGGUUUGAGGCCGGAUCCCAUCAUCAGCAGCCACUACAAUGAUAGCAAUAUCUGUCACUCUCGCUCCACGAGCCCUCAUUGCUCCAAAUUGCCUGUAAGACAGAAUGUAAUUGAAGUUAGACCAGGCAAUUAACAUAAUAGAGAUUGAUCCCGCAAACUAUACCCUCACUACAAUAAUAAGCCUAAAGUUCAGAAGAUCACAAACUGGUUAAUAUGUGCAGCAAAAUUACCUCAUGCCCAGGAGUAUCCAGGAAAACACAGGGUUGCAAUUUGCCAUCCACAGGUACUAGCACCUUAUAUGCCCCAAUUCCUUGCAUAAUCCCACGCGCUUCUGAUGCAGCCACCUGCAAAAGUCUAUCAGUCAAGUCCAGCCACCCAAUCCAUAAUGCACACAAGCAACUAGACCUGACAUUUCACAGGGAUCUAUGACUUGCAUUUUAAAAUUGGUAUAUUCAUUAAUGUCAUUCCUCAACUGGUAACAAGUGAAACUAAACAGAAAGUACAUUCAGGAAACACAUUUAUAAAGGUGUAUAAUGAAGCCAUCUAGAAAACCUUAAAUGCAGAUCCGGUGCAAGAAUAGUUAAAAAGAGAUCGUAAUAGAAGCUUCCAUUCAUACCUUGCUUUUACGAAUAUAAUCCAACAGGGUUGUCUGCAAAACAUUAUGCACAACACGCAUCAGCGUAAGUUAUUAUCAAUGGAGAAGCAAUGCCAUUUUUCACUUGUCUGAGAAAACAAGGGUCUCACUUAUAUUACCUUGCCGUGAUCCACAUGACCCAUGAUAGUCAGCACAGGUGGUCUAUCUUCAAGUUUGUCCAAGUCAUCUUCAUCAAAUAUUUCCUUCUUCCUUGCCAUUUCUUCAACUUUGAUAGGAUCAGCCUCUAUGACCUCCACCUCAUAUUCUUUACAGACCAUCUUCAACAUUUCCUUGUCCAAAGUUUGCACCCCAUCUGGCUUAAUUCCUUUUGAAUACAAAAGUCCAAGGAUUUCACCUUCACUUGUGGCCAAGUUGUAUGCCAAGUCCUCUAUCAACAUUACCUGUUCCCCAACCUCAAGAAUUUCAACUUUCACUGGAGCAGCUUCUUUGGCUGCCUGGAGUCUAGCUGCCUUCCUACUUGCUUUACUCCACUUCCUACCCUUCCUCGCACUAGCUGCACCUGGAAUGGAGACGUUUAGUUCUGAGGCCUCCUCAUCUGGAAUCUCAAUAUCAUCAUUGACCAUUCUCCUCCGCGGUCCACCAGCUGAAGCAUUCUUCUUCCGAUAGUCAUCUUUGAAUUUGCCAGAGGCAGGUCCCUUUGAAGGCUUUGUAGGGGCUAAAACUGCUUGAGCUAUGAGAGGAUCAACAACUGGUUUUUUGGUAGCAAACUUAUCUAUCAAGUUGGCUUCCUUUCUUUAGUUUUUCCCGGAGCAUCAACAUCAUCCACAGUCGACGAUUUUGGCGCUGCCCCAACAUCCUUCAAGAUUACAGGUUUCUUUAAAGCAGGUGGUGGAGCCACAGAAGGCUUGGCCUGUAACUUAGGUUGCAGUCUUAAAGGUGGCUGAGCAGGUCUUAGAGAAGCUCGAGGCUCAUCAUGCUCUUCAACCUUUUGAGAUUCUGGAUCAUCAAUUACUUUGUUGCUAUCGGGAGAAUCCAUUGGAAACUUUACCUUUUGCACUGCGGCAACAUUGUCCCCUUUCCGCCACACACCUCUUCAAAGUCUUAGCCUUUUUACUUCCAGCAGAAUUCACAGGUUUACCGUUUCUAGGAUUAGCACUUGUACCGGAUGGUGUUGAUUUAUUUACAUUUCCACCCUCCUUUUUGCUUGCUUGUCGACCCAGAUUAGACUUUUCGAGCUUUUCCGCCUUCUCCAACACCUCAUCAAGGGACUCAAGAACAUUAUUCUUAUUUUCUAAACCAUCUAGCGUCUCAACAGAGGAAUCUCUGCUAGGUCUCGAAGGUUCUAGCCCCACUGAAUUGGUCUUAGCAUCGGAUGGUUUCACAACAGGCCUUGGUGCGGGCUUCAGUAAAAUCUCGUUGUCGUCGUCUUUAUCCCCUCCAUAACCAUUGUUAGAAUCAAGGGAGACGGCAUUGGUAUGCUCGGCGAUGAAAUCGGUCGUCGUGACCGAAUAUUUACAAUGCCAUCUUUUGACGCUACUCCAGUGUUUGCCUCUCGGGAAGGCAAUCUUGCGAACCGGCGAAUAAGGCACUUCAGAGGAACCCCGGUUGGCACUAGUCCCCGCACUCACGACGGAAGCUGCAGAAGCCAGAGAAACCAUCGUUCCUCCUUGCAUACCUCCCACUAGAAUCAUCACCAUCAGUAAUUCUCACGCAAGAAGAGCCAAACACACUAGGGAGUCAACAGUUCGGUUCGGUUUGGUUUUUCAGUUUUUGCUUUUUUUCGCUUUUGGUUUUUCGGUUACGCCGUCCGUCGACGAACCGUACGACGGCCUUCUUGGCGACGCUUGUAAGCUGAACAGGUAAGCUCGCCCCUGCUCUUGCCCUGUUUUGGGCGCGCCGGGCCGGAGCUCCCGGCCGUCCGGCUCCCGCGAGCUCCGGCCGGCGUCGCCCCGCGUUUUGUUUCCGAUGUCUUGUUCGUCGCGUGUCGAGAGUCCCAGUGCGGGUCGAGCUUCGGUUGACCCAAAAAUCCAUCGUUAUAGUAGCACACCCCAAUUGUUUGAUAUAAUGCCUGAACUGGAUCUGAAAGUUUGGGUGGGGAAUAUUCGUUCUCGUCGUGUCGUUUCGUCUGUGGCCGUCGUUGCCCCUUUCUUUGAUUGAGCAGACGGAGGCAAGCGUCGCUGAGGCGUGGCUUUCGGACGGUAGGGGUGUGUCGAAACCUUAGAUUGGGUCUCGGUUUGGCCGUUCGGGGCAAAGUUUGGCUUCCACCGUGAGGAGGCCAGCGAGGGCAAGGGGGUUCCGGCGACGGCCGAGGUUGUCGACCGUGACUCGCCGAGCACCAGGUGUUGUCGGACAUGGAGGUCGGGGCGCCGGUAAUGCUACUCGGCUGGUCUAGGCGGUGGGGCUUGGUGGAGGCUCGGGCGUGGAAGAGAAGCUACUGUUCAGGAGAUGAGUCCAUCGUGGACUCAAGGCCGGUGAGGGGCUCGUCGUAGCGGUGUCGAUGGUUCGGGCAGGAGGGCUGCAGGUGAGCGUUCGGUGAAGAGAGAGGAGUCGUCAAGGAAGAAGGAACUGUAGAGACUAGAGAAGAUUUUAUCGGUUCGGGGUUCGGUUAACCGAUAAAAACCGAACCGAUAAAAAAAUUUCGGUUUUUAACAAAGACCAAACCAAAAAAACCGAAUUUUUCGAUUCGGUUCGGUUCGGUUCGAUUUGAUUCUCGGGUCGGUUUUUGACACCCCUAAAUCACACCUCCAACGACCGAAAAGAAACGAACUAACAAAUUCUCAAAUUCACAACCCUCUUCCCUCUCCUAAGGUUUAUCAUAACCCACAUGGCGAAAGGGCGAUUUACUCCAAAGGGUAUCAAAUUCCGAGCUCUCGACAAAAUAAUCAAGAAGGAAAUUCAGUUCCACGUACAGGGCAGGCGAGCGAGUUAGUCAGAUACCGGGAGUAGAUAAUUUACCUGAAGCCCGAUUCUGCGAGGAAUCAAGAAACGGCAAUGGGUGUCCGAGAAAUCAUCUGACGAGCGAUGUUUCGGUUAAGAAGAGGAUGAGAGGGAGAGGGAGAAGGGGAGAGAGAAUCCUCUGUGGCUGAGGGAGCGCAGAGGAAAAUAUAUGGCCGUGGCGAUGACGAAAGAGGCCUGAAAUUUUUCAUAUCAUUUUCGAGAUGGGGAUAUAAAUACGUCUCAAUUUCGGAAGAGGAGGACACCAUGACGUGUCUCCUUUCCAGUACCAGAAAUUCAACAACAAGGGAAAGCCCUGAGCAGUAAUUACUACAUUAAGACUGGUGAUAAAGAUAAGAAGUACCCACAAAGACUCAUCUCAGAUCUCUACUCAAGAGCUGAGGGCCUUUUUGACAUGCAAGGUGAACUCAUACACCUUCUGAGGGUCGGGGACAGACUUGGACACGCUCUCUUUAUUCAGGCACCUCUUGGUCCAAGCUAUCAAUUUGGGGCACUCCGCCUCAAUGCUGAAAUUUCCAAACUUCUCGUACGCAUAUAACCAGGUGUAGAAGGGGAUGGCCGCAACGUCCACGAAUCCUAACCUCUUGCCCCCAAAGAAGGGCUUGUCACCGAGCUCACCUUCCAAUAGCUUCAGGCUCUCAAUCAGCUCCUCCUUGGCCACCUCUUCCUUUCCUUCUAUGGUCCACACCUUCCUCUCCAGGUCAUAGAACUGCAAGUAUUUUUAUAAGUCAAUUAGAAUCACACGAUGUUUAAUUUCAACGUCUGCAGAAUUCAUCAUAUUUAGAAUCAUCAUAUUUAGAAUAGGCAACCGAUUUUUGUGCACUAUUUCCUAGAGUAUGAUAAUAAAUUUGCUCGAGAAGUUCUUCCUGAAAGUCACUUCACCGUUAAAAAGAAUUUAAUUGAAUAAACCACAUCUGCAACCAGUAGAUACAUACAUAUAAAGAACAAUCUGAUCAUAUAAGCCCUAAAGCACCCCUUCCAUUUUUUUGUCCAACCAAUUAAGGCAGAUGGGUAACCAAGCAGGCGGCGCUACCGACUUUCAGAGUUACCAUGGAGACAAUGGCACUCGGCAUUACUAACGAGCUCGAGGGUAUAGAGGUGAAAUCAUUCAAACCCCACAAUCACACAGCAAGCUGGUUUGAUCCCUAUGCAAGCGGCUACGGAUUCAGCUACUACAACUACCACGGAGCGUGAGAUUUGAGAAGGGGGGAAACUUUACCUUCUUAUCGACAUAAUCGGCCCAGAACCUGGCCUGAGCCCUCUGCUUAGGGUCGGAAGGCAAGAGGGACCAACCGUCGGACCAGGUCUCGUCGAUGUACUGGAGGAUGAUGAGGGACUCGCAGAUGGGCGUGCCGUUGUGGACGAGGACGGGGAUCUUCUUGUGGACGCGGUUCAUGCGGAGGAGGAGGUCGCUCUUGUUCCUCAGGUCCUCCCCCUUGUACUCGUACUCGAUCCCUUUCUCCGCCAGCGCGAUCCUGCACCGCAUGCCGAACAUGCUCGGCCAGGAGUCCAGCAGGAUCACCUCGUCGGCCAUCGCUUCCGGCUCACCACCCCACGGAGACAUC
rnacentral:lncRNA from 1 species